CGAAUCAGGGAUGUUCCGCGCCGGCGACAGAGCACCCAGCGAAGCGGUGCGCUCGCCGCCGGCGACUUUCCCCUAGCCACCGCAGCCCAAGCGCCGAAUCAGCACGGACAGGGCUUGGCAAAGCAAGAAAGGAUCAAGAGAUGGAGCGACAGAGAGGGAUCGAUCGGGAGGACGAGCAGGUAUCGCCGGCGGGCGUCGCAGCCAGGCCAACUGAGCACGGCGGGCCUCGCCGGCAAGCAUCGAUUUGCUGGCUCCCCAGUCCCCACUGCCGGCUGUGGAUUUCCAAUUUCAGUCUUCACUUCCAGGCUUAAGGUGCAUCGUUCAGGGAAACAGGUAUGUGAUUGUGAUGUAUGGCUGGCAAAAUGUACGAGGGUGAUUCUGCAGGAAAAAUGUCCAAGAAAGAGAGGGAUCAAGUAGCAAGUUCACCCAUGCUUGCCGAGAUGACGACUGUCUCCAAUGUUAUCAAUACAGGUGAGAUUCGAGAGCUGAAGGGAACGGCUGGCAAGAGAAAGCAUUCUAUGAAAUGGCCGCUGUUAUGAACAGAUCACCACUGUUUCUGAAAUGGCCAGCAACAAUUGGAGAUUGACCUUUUUCCCUUACUACACAGGAAUACAAGCCCAAGUGGCUUUUGCUGGGCCAUCUGGAAGGCCAGAAAACACUUUUGCUUUGAAAACAAGAGAGUGAAAUCUCCUACUGAGAUUGCCUGCUCUGCCUGUUCCUUCAUUUUGUAUCUGGCAGGUAUGCAUGCCCAGGUGAACUGCGAGCUUCAGAAGGAUGGUGCGGACAGCAGAAGAGCUCAAGGAGGCAGCAAUCUGCUACCACAAGCAUGUUGCUGAGCACGACAAGAUGGCGGCGGCGAGAGCAAUCAAUGGAGCGUGGAGGAGGAUCCGUGAAGGAAGCUGGAGAAGACGGGCAUUUUACUUAUUUAUGUGCUCCGGCGAUUUCUUUUUGGACCUUGCCCUGUGUGGUGGAUGAUUUAGUUUCUCCUUCUUUACCAAACUUUUUAGGCAUGGUUGGAAAACAGUAGUGUGCAAUUUCAUUACUUUACUGAGGUCCUGUUAGGGAAGGGGUGUUAAAGUUUAAUACUCCACUUUUAAUA